GAUGAACGCUGGCGGCGUGCCUAAUACAUGCAAGUCGAGCGAACAGACGAGGAGCUUGCUCCUCUGACGUUAGCGGCGGACGGGUGAGUAACACGUGGAUAACCUACCUAUAAGACUGGGAUAACUUCGGGAAACCGGAGCUAAUACCGGAUAAUAUAUUGAACCGCAUGGUUCAAUAGUGAAAGACGGUUUUGCUGUCACUUAUAGAUGGAUCCGCGCCGCAUUAGCUAGUUGGUAAGGUAACGGCUUACCAAGGCAACGAUGCGUAGCCGACCUGAGAGGGUGAUCGGCCACACUGGAACUGAGGCACGGUCCAGACUCCUACGGGAGGCAGCAGUAUGGAAUCUUGCGCAAUGGGCGAAAGCCUGACGGAGCAACGCCGCGUGAGUGAUGAAGGUCUUCGGAUCGUAAAACUCUGUUAUGAGGGAAGAACAAAUGUGUAAGUAACUAUGCACGUCUUGACGGUACCUAAUCAGAAAGCCACGGCUAACUACGUG
rnacentral:rRNA from 1 species